GAUGAACGCUGGCGACGUGGAUAAGGCAUGCAAGUCGAGAGGGUUUAGACCCUCGGCAAACGGGUUAGUAACAGGUAGGAACGUACCCCAAAGUUAGGAAUACCCCGGAGAAAUCCGGAAUAAUACCUAAUAGUCUCUUCGGAGUAAAGCUUUUGCGCUUUGGGAGCGGCCUGCUUCCUAUCAGCUUGUUGGUGAGGUAAAGGCUCACCAAGGCUAUGACGGGUAGGGGACGUGAGAGCGUGACCCCCAACAUUGGCACUGAGACACUGGCCAAACACCUACGGGUGGCUGCAGUCGAGAAUCUUCCACAAUGCACGAAAGUGUGAUGGAGCGACGUCGCGUGCGGGAUGAAGGCCUUCGGGUUGUAAACCGUUUUUAUAAAGGAGGAAUUUAGAUGACAUUACUUUAUGAAUAAGGGGUUGCUAAUUGCG
rnacentral:rRNA from 1 species